GUGGGGAAUAUUGCGCAAUGGGGGAAACCCUGACGCAGCAAUACCGCGUGAGUGAAGAAGGUUUUCGGAUCGUAAAACUCUUUUAUUGGGGAAGAAGAAGUGACGGUACCCAAUGAAGAAGUCCCGGCUAACUACGUGCCAGCAGCCGCGGUAAUACGUAGGGGACAAGCGUUGUCCGGAAUCACUGGGCGUAAAGGGCGCGUAGGCGGUUUUAUAAGUCAGAUGUGAAAGGUACCGGCUCAACCGGUGACGUGCAUUUGAAACUGUAAGACUUGAGUACUGGAGAGGCAAGUGGAAUUCCUAGUGUAGCGGUGAAAUGCGUAGAUAUUAGGAGGAACACCGGUGGCGAAGGCGGCUUGCUGGACAGAUACUGACGCUGAGGUGCGAAAGCGUGGGGAGCGAACAGGAUUAGAUACCCGGGUAGUCC
rnacentral:rRNA from 1 species